UGUUCCUCUUUGGACAUACUACAAGGUCUGACUCAGUGCUUUAUACACAGUGGUUGUUCUAUUGAUGCUUGCUGAGUGGAUGCAGGCAGUAAGAGCCCAGAAUUGGACCUCAUUCAGCACCUAAUUGUUGUGUUCAUUGUGUGCAGUCACUGACGGGGCUGGGUGCUCAGAAUUCAGUACUGAGUCAGCCGAACCCUGCCCUUAAUGAGAGCAGGCCGUGAGUGAGACAGACACAAAACAGUGCAGCGCAGCGCAAUGUUACUCGCGCAGUGACAAAGGUAGAGAUGCUACAAGGUGGAAGGCAGAAUUCACAACCAAAGGGACUUUCUCCUCCCCAGUCGCCUCCCCCAGUAGUUGAUGGGGCUGCCACACCUCAAGCCAAGCAGGGGACCUGGCAGUGUUCACCCGCCAGCUGCGUGGACGCCCAUGUCUCUUUACGGCAGAAGAGCAAGGGUGCAUCUGGCCCUCAGAACUGCAGGAUGCACCAGCAGCGAUGGAGAAGGCUCCUUGGAUGCGGCAAGGGUCCUGACUCCUCUUCGUCAUCUUCAGCUCCACCGUCUCUAGUCCCUUGACCGCCGCAGCACCAAGCCCCGGCUCGGCUGUGUCCAUGCCUCUGCCUCCAGGCGCUUGGACCCAAGAUUCCCUUCUGAAGCUGACCCGCGCUGUGUAUCUUCCCCCAAACCCCCACCUCCAUCUCAAAAAAGCCCUUCCCUGCCUUUGGCACCUCUCCCUCCCCCACGCCCACCCGCUCAGGUCCCCCUGUUAAAUAUUAGCCCAAAAGACAAACUUCCUUCCAGCCUGGCCGGCCCCGAGUCCUAGGGUCCCUGGAUCAGACACGCUCCACCUGCGGGGACCUCUCCCUCCUGCCAACUCCUGAGGAGCGGCAGCGGCUUCUGGGCUUCCCACGCGGGAUGUGACAUCCACAAGGGACACAAUACAAACGAACGAGGGGAGAGUCCGUGUGGCACCUGUGCAUGCCCACAGGUGGAUGUGCGUCCAGGCGAGUCCUGCAGGUGUGUGCACAAUGACUGCGCCCACCCCUCUGUGGGGUCUCGCCACGGUAAACUGGGUGGGCUCCAUCUCACCCAGGCUAGGGCUGAGCAGGAGGAAGCCGCGGCCUCGCCCCCAGAGGGCAGCACUGAGCUGAUCUGGCACGACUGAGUUUCCCAUCCAGGGCCUGGAGGGGAGGACUUCAGAUCUGAAAAGGAAUGCCAGGAAUCGAAUCCCAAAUCCAGGCUAGCGGUUACACUGCGGGCAGAGCGCGAGGCGUACCUCGAAGCCAAAGUGUCUAAAAUUGGGCAGUGGAUUCACAGAUGUUUGUGGUGCCUUCAUUCUUAAAUCCUACUCAUAGUUUGUAAAUAUUAUUUCGAAUCUAUUCGGUAUUACACUUUUU